UGGGGAUAGUUCAACGGUAGAACAGCGGACUCUGACCCGUUAAUCUUGGUUCGAAUCCAGGUCCCCAGCCA
rnacentral:tRNA from 1 species